AUUUAAGUCGUGCAGCACGACAGUCCAUUCCUGACAAGCAGUCCCUCGGACACGACGUAUUGUCCGGCAGUAUAAAUUGGCGCGUCGAAGACUGCCGGCGGUCAGUCUUCCCUCCGCCAGGCCAAAUCACCCACCAUGUCCAAGCUGUGCUGCCUGCUGCUGCUGCUGGCCGUCGCGCUGGCCUGCCUGGCCACGGCCGCCGACGCCAGAGGCCUCUUCGGCAAGAUGAUGAAGAAGGUGGCCUGCACGGCGGCCGGCCCCUUCAACGUCAUACUCCCGGUGGGGGGAGCCGCCUGUAUAUGACGAGCUAGGCCGCGAUCACGACAACGCCCGAGCCACACAAAGGACGCCGUCAACGCCAAAAAGAAUCAUUCGCCGCGAGUAAAACGUUUCCAAUCAGCCUUUCAUAGCCUCUGCUCUUUGUGCCGCCCUCCAGUUGAAACAUAAAAACCGGACCAGAUCGA